rnacentral:lncRNA from 1 species
GGAGAAGCAACUCUCGCGCAGGCGCACAAAGAAACAAAGGCACACGGCAUACAUCGCUGCGUUUACUCAUGACCAGCCCUGGGCUUUACACAGAGGUGCCUUCGGCGGGCUGCUCAAGAUGCCCCUCCUUCUUCUUGUCCUCCGGUUUCAUCGCUGGGAACAGAAGCACCUCCUUGAUAUUACUGGAAUCAGUAAGGAACAUGGUGAAGCGAUCGAUUCCCAUGCCCCAGCCAGCUGUAGGGGGAAGGCCAUACUCCAGUGCAGUGCAGAAGUUUUCAUCGAUAAACAUGGCUUCAUCAUCACCUGCAGCUUUUGCCUUAGCCUGGUCUUCAAAAAGCUGCCGCUGCUGGAAAGGAUCAUUCAGUUCUGUGUAUGCAUUACACACUUCCUUCUUCAUCACAAAGAGCUCAAAGCGUUCUGUUAGUCCCCGAUGAAUGCGAUGCCAUUUGGCUAGAGGACUCAUGAUCUGUGGAUGAUCACAGAUGAAAGUUGGGUUGAUACAAGUGACUUCGAGGAAUUCACCGACUAAUUUGUCAAGAAGCCUGGCUGUUGUCCUAGGAGGUGGACACUCCACAUUUCUCACUGCACAGAGGUCAUCAAAGAACCUUCGAGUUUCUUCAGUUUCAAAAGACUCAGUUGAUGGAAAUUUCACUCCUAAAGUCUUUUCCAGUUCAUCCACCAUACUAAUGCGCCGGAAGGGAGGGGUAAAAUCUAUCUCAUAGGCCUGUCCAUCUUGACCAUCUGGAUGGUAAGUGAUCUUGUAACUUCCAGUAAUGUGCUUCACCAUCCCUGAAAGCAACUUCUCUGUUAUUUCCAUCAAAUCACAGUAGUCUGCAUAAGCCAUGUAGAAUUCACAAGUUGUGAACUCAGGGUUGUGAGUCAAAUCAAUUCCUUCAUUCCGGAACUGACGUCCAAUUUCAUACACUCUAUCCAGGCCUCCAACCACCAACAUCUUAUGGUAAAGCUCUGGAGCAAUUCUCAUAUACAACUUCAUAUCCAGCUCAUUGUGGUAUGUGAUAAAAGGUUUUGCCAUAGCUCCACCUGGAAUUAUAUUCAUCAUAGGAGUUUCAAUCUCAAGGAAGCCCAAUUCAUCCAGAAAGCUCCGAAUAUAUGUCACAAUCUUUGCACGGGUUAUAAAUUUCUGCCUCACAUAAUCGUUAAGAAUUAAAUCCAAAUAUCUCUGCCGAUAUCUAGUUUCCUUGUCUUUGAGGCCAAAGUGAAGAUGAGGCAACAUGUGUAGGCAUGGAGAUAAAAGAGUUAUUUCAUAAGGAAUAAUACUCAGUUCUCCUUUCUUUGUUUUCCCAGGAUUCCCCACAACACCAAUAAUGUCCCCACGACGCAGUUUGUUGUUAAUACGGAAAUAUUCUUCCUCAGACUUGUAAAGCCUGGAAUUUGCCAUGACCUGCAACUUGACUCCUUCACCACGAAGAUCAUAGAAAAUCAGUUUCCCUCCAGAGGCACGCUUUGCAUGGAUACGACCUGCCACACUCACUGUAAUAUCUGUCAGGUGAUCUCCUGGCUGUAAGUGACUGUACCUCUCUAUAAAAUCUGAGAGAGAUAAGUCUACAUGGAACUUGUGGGGGUAAGGAUCUUCAUUGGUGCCCUUCAGC